GUGAUUGCUUCGGCAGCACAUACACUAAAAUUACAGAGAAGAUCAGCAUGGCUCCUGCACAAGGAUGACUUGCAAAUUCGUGAAGUAUUUCAUAUUUUU
rnacentral:snRNA from 1 species